GUUCGGAAUAGCUCCUGGAAACUGGUGGUAAUGCCGAAUGUGCCCUUCGGGGGAAAGAUUUAUCGCCUUUAGAGCGGACCGCGUCUGAUUAGCUAUUUGGUGAGGUAAUGGCUCACCAAGGCGACGAUCAGUAGCUGGUCUGACAGGAUGACCAUCCACAUUGGGACUGAGACACGGACCAAACUCCUACGGGAGGCAACACUGGGGAAUCUUGCGCAAUGGGCGAAAGCCUGACGCUUCCAUGCCGGGUGAAUGAUGAAGGUCUUAGGAUUGUAAAAUUCUUUCACCGGGGACGAUAAUGACGGUACCCGGAGAAGAAGCCCCGGCUAACUUCGUGCCACCAGCCGCGGUAAUACGAAGGGGGCUAGCGUUGCUCGGAAUUACUGGGCGUAAAGGGCGCGUAGGCGGACAUUUAAGUCAGGGGUGAAAUCCCAGAGCUCAACUCUGGAACUGCCUUUGAUACUGGGUGUCUUGAGUGUGAUACAGGUAUGUGGAACUCCGACUGUAUAGGUGAAAUUCGUACAUAUUCAGAAGAAAACCAGUGGCAAAUGCGACAUACUGGCUCAUUACUGACGCUGAGGCGCGAAAUCCUGAGGAGCAAACAGGAUUACAUACCCUGGUAGUCCACUCCGUAAACAAUGAUUGCUAGUUGUCGGGCUGCAUGCACCUCGGUGACGCACCUAACACAUU
rnacentral:rRNA from 1 species